rnacentral:rRNA from 1 species
GUAGUUUGGGAAUGCUGCUCAAAAUGGGAGGUAAACCCCUUCUAAAGCUAAAUACUGGCCAGAGACCGAUAGCGCACAAGUAGAGUGAUCGAAAGAUGAAAAGCACUUUGAAAAGAGAGUUAAAAAGCACGUGAAAUUGUUGAAAGGGAAGCGUUUGCGACCAGACUUGCGCCCGUCGAAUCAACCGUCCCUCGUGGGCGGCGCACUUCGGCGGGCUCAGGCCAGCAUCAGUUCGCUGUAGGGGGAGAAAAGCGGUGGGAAUGUGGCUCUUCGGAGUGUUAUAGCCCGCCGCAUAAUACCCCUCGGCGGACUGAGGACCGCGCUUUGCAAGGAUGC